UACGUAGGGACCAAGCGUUGUUCGGAUUUACUGGGCGUAAAGGGCGCGUAGGCGGCGUGGUAAGUCACUUGUGAAAUCUCCGAGCUUAACUCGGAACGGUCAAGUGAUACUGCUGUGCUAGAGUGCAGAAGGGCAAUCGGAAUUCUUGGUGUAGCGGUGAAAUGCGUAGAUAUCAAGAGGAACACCUGAGGUGAAGACGGGUUGCUGGGCUGACACUGACACUGAGAGACGAAAGCUAGGGGAGCAAAUGGG
rnacentral:rRNA from 1 species